UUAGGCAAUCGUCGUGUUGGAGAAUAGCUCGCGAAUAAUUCUGUUAGAGUGUAGGUAUAUAUAUAGGAGUGGGUACACCGAAAGUUCGAUUUACUUUACAGUCGUUGACAAAGUUUUACUACCUAUAGUAUAGUGUAAUUUCUCCAACAGAGGUAUACCUACAGAAGUACAAAACAAACACAUUUACCGCACGCGUACAUUAUUUUCGUUUAAUACAACU